CCGGGCCGACCUGCUGCAGGUUUCCCGCAGAAGGGGCCGGCAGGUCCCUAAUUUCGGCCACAUGUUGAGGGAGAGGAAGAGGGAGCGGGGCCGAGGAGGGGGGGGGUUGGAGGCGCGCUGAUGAAAAGAGCAGCUCCACAAGUGAAGCACAUUACCAGCCCGGAGUGGAAAGGGCCGGAAGGAAAACCCACCCACCUCACCCCGCGUUUCUUCUAUCAACCUGCAAUUGAGGCAAUCAAAACCAGCUGUCGGCUCUUCCAGAUCUUUCUCGCAGGACAAACACGCCAAAGGGCCCGGGGCCCGGCGUUGCCAGCAGCUGGUAAUUGAGACCAGAUGAGCCCCGGGAACGGCAAAGCACAUGCGAGGCGAGCCCCGGCCCCGGGAGAGACACACGCGGAGACGGGAACGCACCAGAGUCUGCCCAAAUUUUCCUCUUAAAUCUCAAGCAAGCGAAGGGUUCACCACCAUCCUUGGCCAACAUCGACCUUGCCCACCACGAUCCCAUAUCUUGGGGCUGACAACCAUGAAGUGGAUGUGAUCCAUGUGCCCAAAGAGCUCUGAGAACCCCCUCGGUUUGGGGUGCCAUCAGCUUCAGGUGCUGAGCCACAAGAAAAACCAGGAGGAGAAGAGAACCGUUUGCUUUGUGUGUCAGCGGAGAUGUCAGUCCCCAUUAAUAAAUCUAUCCGCUAAAUCUACUCUUAUUCAUGGGGGACAUCACCAAGUUAAAGUAAAAUAAAUUAUCUUUAAUUAAAUGGAAUUGUCGUCUUCCUCCUGCUAUCAUCCCCAAUUAUUACAUCCUAAUCAGCCCUUUUGGGAGAAGGCACGAGGGAAGGCUGAAAGGCACAUUUACUCUAAACAAUUUCUCUCUCUGUCAAGAGAUGGAAGUUUUAUUUUAAUUAUUGUUUAGGGCUCCGAUUUUUACCCUUUUUUUUUUUGAUGAAAGGGAUUAAAGUUUAAAACUGCCGUCAUUCGAAGCAAGGAAGAAAUCUGCUGGUGUCAGAGCAAUUUCCUCUUCGGCCCUCCUACGAUUUGAAGCCCAGAGCGAGAUGUGCGAAUCCUUUGGGUCGACUCCUUUAGGAUGAGAUCCAGUGGGGGAUUUCCAUUCAAAAAAAUAAAUAUUCUGGCUGCAGACGGGAGGUGAGGGCACUCAGAGGGCUACGAAACCCUCCUGGGAGCAGAGCACUGCCACGGGGUGAGCGCCCAGGAGGCUGAAGGUGCCUGGAGGAUGUGUUGAAGUCUCCGGGGCUGUCCUGGAGAAGGUCGGCUUGCCCGUGCUGGAAAAGGCUGCUCUUUUUCAAACAACGACAAUUUAACCCCAUAUAUUUCCCGGGACGCGUUAUCACCACCACCUGCACGGUGAACGCCGCGUCAACUGGCCAGAAAGCUCCUGGCACCAAAAAACCCCUCAGCCAAAAUUUACCGAGGACGCACCAAACGUCCUACAAAGCUCUGCCCGUCCAAAAUCAGCAGGAGCUGCACUUUAAUAUUAAUCUCCAGGCCCUGUGUAGAUUUAAAAACGCAUUUCUCCCCCUGCCAACGCUUGCUUGUUGGCCGUGAAGCACCCAAAUGCACCCUGAGCACCCCCUGCCCAGUCACAGGACGAGAUAAAUUUCGGCUAACAACAAAAAGGGGAAAGCAGAGAUUGUGACAAGGGCUGGAAAAAGGGAAGAAGCGCUCCGUUCCCAUUAAUUAACGCAACCUUUUUAUAUAUAUAUAUAAAAAAAAAAAAAAAAAAAAAA